UACGUAGGGGGCAAGCGUUGUCCGGAAUCAUUGGGCGUAAAGAGCGUGUAGGCGGCCUGGUAAGUCCGCUGUGAAAGUCCAGGGCUCAACCCUGGAAUGCCGGUGGAAACUGUCAGGCUCGAGUCCGGAAGAGGCGAGUGGAAUUCCUGGUGUAGCGGUGAAAUGCGCAGAUAUCAGGAGGAACACCGGUGGCGAAGGCGGCUCUCUGGACGGUGACUGACGCUGAGGCGCGAAAGCGUGGGGAGCAAACAGG
rnacentral:rRNA from 1 species